rnacentral:rRNA from 1 species
GCUGGACGUAUCACAAGUGCGAAUGCUGACAUAAGUAACGAUAAAACGGGUGAAAAACCCGUUCGCCGGAAGACCAAGGGUUCCUGUCCAACGUUAAUCGGGGCAGGGUGAGUCGGCUCCUAAGGCGAGGCUGAAAAGCGUAGUCGAUGGGAAACAGGUUAAUAUUCCUGUACUUGGUAAAGCUGCGAUGUGGGGACGGAGUAGGUUAGGUUAUCGCACUGUUGGAUAUGUGCGUUUAAGUUGGUAGGUGGGAAGUUUAGGCAAAUCCGGACUUCCUUAACACAGAGAGAUGAUGACGAGGCUCUACGGAGCUGAAGUAACUGAUACCACACUUCCAGGAAAAGCCACUAAGCGAAAGGCUUUACUAAACCGUACUGAAAACCGACACAGGUGGUCAGGUAGAGAAUACUCAGGCGCUUGAGAGAACUCGGGUGAAGGAACUAGGCAAAAUAGCACCGUAACUUCGGGAGAAGGUGCGCCGGCGUAGAUUGUAAGGGCUAGCCCCUGAAGGUUGAACCGGUCGAAGAUACCAGCUGGCUGCAACUGUUUAUUAAAAACACAGCACUCUGCAAACACGAAAGUGGAGGUAUAGGGUGUGAUGCCUGCCCGGUGCUGGAAGGUUAAUUGAUGGUGUCAUCGAAAGAGAAGCACCUGAUCGAAGCCCCAGUAAACGGCGGCCGUAACUAUAACGGUCCUAAGGUAGCGAAAUUCCUUGUCGGGUAAGUUCCGACCUGCACGAAUGGCAUAAUGAUGGCCAGGCUGUCUCCACCCGAGACUCAGUGAAAUUGAAAUCGCCGUGAAGAUGCGGUGUACCCGCGGCUAGACGGAAAGACCCCGUGAACCUUUACUAUAGCUUGACACUGAACAUUGAAUUUUGAUGUGUAGGAUAGGUGGGAGACUUAGAAGUAGGAACGCCAGUUUCUAUGGAGUCAUCCUUGAAAUACCACCCUUUAACGUUUGAUGUUCUAACGAAGACUACGGAACGUGGUCUCGGACAGUGUCUGGUGGGUAGUUUGACUGGGGCGGUCUCCUCCCAAAGCGUAACGGAGGAGCACGAAGGUUUGCUAAUCACGGUCGGACAUCGUGAGGUUAGUGCAAUGGUAUAAGCAAGCUUAACUGCGAGACAGACAAGUCGAGCAGGUACGAAAGUAGGUCAUAGUGAUCCGGUGGUUCUGAAUGGAAGGGCCAUCGCUCAACGGAUAAAAGGUACUCCGGGGAUAACAGGCUGAUACCGCCCAAGAGUUCAUAUCGACGGCGGUGUUUGGCACCUCGAUGUCGGCUCAUCACAUCCUGGGGCUGAAGUAGGUCCCAAGGGUAUGGCUGUUCGCCAUUUAAAGUGGUACGCGAGCUGGGUUUAGAACGUCGUGAGACAGUUCGGUCCCUAUCUGCCGUGGGCGU